rnacentral:rRNA from 1 species
AGCGAACGCUGGCGGCAGGCCUAACACAUGCAAGUCGAACGAAGUCUUCGGACUUAGUGGCGGACGGGUGAGUAACACGUGGGAACGUACCUUUUGGUUCGGAACAACUCAGGGAAACUUGAGCUAAUACCGGAUGAGCCCUUAGGGGGAAAGAUUUAUCGCAGAAAGAGCGGCCCGCGUUAGAUUAGCUAGUUGGGGAGAUAAAGGCUCACCAAGGCUACGAUCUAUAGCUGGUCUGAGAGGAUGAUCAGCCACAUUGGGACUGAGACACGGCCCAAACUCCUACGGGAGGCAGCAGUGGGGAAUCUUGCGCAAUGGGCGAAAGCCUGACGCAGCCAUGCCGCGUGAAUGAUGAAGGUCUUAGGAUUGUAAAAUUCUUUCACCGGGGACGAUAAUGACGGUACCCGGAGAAGAAGCCCCGGCUAACUUCGUGCCAGCCGCCGCAGUAACAC